UGUUAUGGCGGUUGUGCGCGGGACGCUUUCGAGCGUGCCGGUCUCCGUGACUCCCGGUUUACCAACCUGCGCACAGCUGCCACCCAU
rnacentral:antisense_RNA from 1 species